UUAAAGUUGUUGCAGUUAAAAAGCUCGUAGUUUNAACCUUGGGCCUGGCUGGCCGGUCCGCCUCACCGCGUGUACUGGUCCGGCCGGGCCUUUCCUUCUGGGGAACCUCAUGCCCUUCACUGGGCGUGUUGGGGAACCAGGACUUUUACUUUGAAAAAAUUAGAGUGUUCAAAGCAGGCCUUUGCUCGAAUACAUUAGCAUGGAAUAAUAGAAUAGGACGUGUGGUUCUAUUUUGUUGGUUUCUAGGACCGCCGUAAUGAUUAAUAGGGAUAGUCGGGGGCAUCAGUAUUCAAUCGUCAGAGGUGAAAUUCUUGGAUUGAUUGAAGACUAACUACUGCGAAAGCAUUUGCCAAGGAUGUUUUCAUUAAUCAGUGAACGAAAGUUAGGGGAUCGAAGACGAUCAGAUACCGUCGUAGUCUUAACCAUAAACUAUGCCGACUGGGGAUCGG
rnacentral:rRNA from 1 species